rnacentral:rRNA from 1 species
UACGUAGGGGGCAAGCGUUGUCCGGAUUCAUUGGGCGUAAAGAGCGUGUAGGCGGCCAGGUAGGUCGGUUGUGAAAACUGGAGGCUCAACCUUCAGAGGUCGACCGAAACCAUCUGGCUAGAGUCCGGGAGAGGAGAGCGGAAUUCCCGGUGUAGCGGUGAAAUGCGUAGAGAUCGGGAAGAAGGCCGGUGGCGAAGGCGGCUCUCUGGAACGUUCCUGACACUGAGGCACGAAAGCGUGGGGAGCAAACAGG